rnacentral:rRNA from 1 species
AUUGAACGCUGGCGGCAGGCCUAACACAUGCAAGUCGAGCGGAGCGGCGGACGGGUGAGUAAUGCCUAGGAAUCUGCCUGGGAGUGGGGGAUAACGUCCGGAAACGGGCGCUAAUACCGCAUACUAUCAGAUGAGACUAGGUCGGAUGAGCUAGUUGGUGGGGUAAAGGCCUACCAAGGCGACGAUCCGUAACUGGUCUGAGAGGAUGAUCAGUCAGACUGGAACUGAGGCACGGUCCAGACUCCUACGGGAGGCAGCAGUGGGGAAUCUUCCGCAAUGGACGAAAGUCUGACGGAGCAACGCCGCGUGGGUGAUGACGGCCUUCGGGUUGUAAAGGUCUGUUAAUCGGGACGCGGUACCGGAAUAGAAAGCCACGGCUAACUACGUGCCAGCCGCCGCGGUAAUAC